rnacentral:tRNA from 18 species
UGGUGUAGCUCAAUUGGUAGAGCAACUGAUUUGUAAUCAGUAGGUU